ensembl:lncRNA SATB1-AS1 SATB1 antisense RNA 1
AGCCUGAACUUUCUCAUCCAACACCCGUUCAAGUCGGAGGAUGCUGAUUAAUUCAUGAUGGAAAGGUAUCAAUUUCACAGCCCAGACCUCUACAUUCUUGAAAUGCUCUUCUCAUGGGAGACAUUAAAUAAGCUUUGAAUUAACUGAAUGUACAGGGUGUACCAUGAACAAUUCUGACAUGUGAUUUAAUCUAUGUGGGACUACAUUUUAAAUACAUUUGGGAAGGAUUGAACAAUGAAGUGGAGCCCAUCAAUAUUGGUACUGAAAAUGAGACAUGUGCACCAAUGAAAAGUCCAUCAGGGAUUUGCUCUGCCAUAUGGGAAUCAAUGCUCCAUCAGACAGCUUUACAAAGCUGCCAUGUGUGAUUCAUAUUCGCAAACUGUGUAUUAUUUUUAUUGUCUAUUUUUCUAAUUUUUUCUCAUCCCUGAAUCCUUGGUAAAGUUUGGUUUACAUAUUCUUUCAUCACCUCAGUAAAAAAAGAAAUACAAAUAUAAUGGACCCUUUGAAACCAGGGUGGUGGUAACUAUGAUAAUAUUUCAUAGAUUUCCAGGAAAAUGUAAAUCUCAGGGAAGAGAAUUUAAGAUAAAUGUCCAGAUGCUUAUUAGAAGUA